UACGUAGGGGGCAAGCGUUGUCCGGAUUUAUUGGGCGUAAAGAGCUCGUAGGCGGCUUGGCAAGUCGGGUGUGAAAACUUCAGGCUCAACCUGGAGCGGCCACUCGAUACUGCUAUGGCUUGAGUCCGGUAGGGGACCACGGAAUUCCUGGUGUAGCGGUGAAAUGCGCAGAUAUCGUUUGGAACGCCAAUGGUGAAAACAGGUUGCUGGGAGUGCGCUGACGCUGAGACACGAAAGCCAGGGGAGCAAACGGG
rnacentral:rRNA from 1 species